AACACUGUUAACCUGCGGUACCUGCGGAGGGAUCAUUAUAGUAUAUGGAAUCUCCAUUCUAUAAACCCACUCUGCGUAUCUUGUAACUGUUGCUUCCAUGGGACUUGGUUCCGCCACACCGGCUUCACGGCCGGUGAGCGCCCAUGGAAGGAGAAACAAAACUCUUCUUUGAAAUGUAGUCAGUCUGAACAAGUUUUUAUAAACGUUAAAACUUUCAACAACGGAUCUCAGAUCGGAAGA
rnacentral:misc_RNA from 1 species